ACUCAAAUGAAUUGACGGGGGCCCGCACAAGCGGAGGAACAUGUGGUUUAAUUCGAUGAUACGCGAGGAACCUUACCCGGGUUUGAACGAAGUACGCAAUGUAAGGAAACUUACUUUUCGCAAGACGUAUUUCGAGGUGCUGCAUGGUUGUCGUCAGCUCGUGCCGUGAGGUGUCGGGUUAAGUCCCAUAACGAGCGCAACCCCUGCCGACAGUUGCCAUCGGGUCAUGCCGGGAACUCUGUCGGGACUGCCGGUGUAAACCGCGAGGAAGGCGGGGAUGACGUCAAAUCAGCACGGCCCUUACAUCCGGGGCUACACACGUGUUACAAUGGUGGGUACAGAGGGCAGCAAGCCUGCGAAGGUAAGCGAAUCCUCAAAGCCCAUCUCAGUUCGGAUCGGAGUCUGCAACCCGACUCCGUGAAGCCGGAUUCGCUAGUAAUCGCGCAUCAGCCACGGCGCGGUGAAUACGUUCCCGGGCCUUGUACACACCGCCCGU
rnacentral:rRNA from 1 species